GACGAACGCUGGCGGCGUGCCUAAUACAUGCAAGUAGAACGCUGAAGGAGGAGGUUGCUCUUCUGGAUGAGUUGCGAACGGGUGAGUAACGCGUAGGUAACCUGCCUGGUAGCGGGGGAUAACUAUUGGAAACGAUAGCUAAUACCGCAUAACAGUAGAUGUUGCAUGACAUUUGCUUAAAAGGUGCAAUUGUACCACUACCAGUUGGACCUGCGUUGGAUUAGCUUGUUGGUGGGGUAACGGCUCACCAAGGAGACGAUACAUAGUCGACCCGGAAGGGGGGUCGGCCAACCUGGGACUGAGGAAAGGGCCCAGACCCCUAGGGGAGGAGCAAUAGGGGAAUUUCGGGAAUGGAGCGAAGGCUGGACGGGGAACGCCGGGGUGGGUGAGAAGGGUUUCGGGUCGGAAAACCCUGUUGAUUGGGAAAGAAGAGUUGGAGAGGUAAAAAUGCACGCUGUGACGGUACCUAAUCAGAAAGCGACGGCUAACUACGUG
rnacentral:rRNA from 1 species